rnacentral:rRNA from 1 species
CCUACGGGGCGCAGCAGUGGGGAAUAUUGGACAAUGGGCGAAAGCCUGAUCCAGCCAUGCCGCGUGUGUGAAGAAGGCCUUCGGGUUGUAAAGCACUUUCAGUGGGGAAGAAAGCCUUGGGGCUAAUACCCUCGAGGAAGGACAUCACCCACAGAAGAAGCACCGGCUAACUCCGUGCCAGCAGCCGCGGUAAUACGGAGGGUGCGAGCGUUAAUCGGAAUUACUGGGCGUAAAGCGCGCGUAGGCGGUCUGAUAAGCCGGUUGUGAAAGCCCCGGGCUCAACCUGGGAACGGCAUCCGGAACUGUCAGGCUAGAGUGCAGGAGAGGAAGGUAGAAUUCCCGGUGUAGCGGUGAAAUGCGUAGAGAUCGGGAGGAAUACCAGUGGCGAAGGCGGCCUUCUGGACUGACACUGACGCUGAGGUGCGAAAGCGUGGGUAGCAAACAGGAUUAGAUACCCGAGUAUC